rnacentral:lncRNA from 1 species
CAGCCAGGUACCUCUGUGCAAGUCUCAGCUGUGCCUCUGAAGUAGCUAGCCGUUGCCCAGCACUGUGCUAAGGUCUUUUCAUCACUGUGUAAUUGAAGGCUCACAGCCACCCUUUAAGGAAAACGAUCUUGUCGUCAUUAUUUUAUAAGAAAUGGAAUGGAAGCUCAGUGCCACCCCUAGCCCAUGGACACAUUCCCAGAGAGCGGCAGUGUGUCUGGCCUGGAACUUAAUGAAUUCUGUCGGACAGAAGUCCAUGCUCUUAACCAUUAGGCCUCCCAUACAAAGAUACUUUGUACGGGGACAUGAGACACAGCCUAAUAGCACAGAAACUCACAGAGGACGAGUUUCUUAGUUUUGUCAUCUCUGAAAUGGGAAUAAUAAUAUUACUCCCACCUUGCAAGGCUUUGGGAAAGAUUAGAGAGAAUGUAAAAAGGUCCAUGUGAGAGGUCCUCGUGGGUUAAUGUGUGGGGGGAGUCCCCAGUCCCUCCCCGGGCACUCAGAGCGAUGUGGGAAGACUGUGGAGCCCAUGCUUAUUGAUGCUGUUUCAUUUCAAUUAAACCUCCGUCAGAAACAUCGCAUGACAUCAAAAUGGAAGAGAUGUUGAGUCUGAACGGGUCCAGAGAGGGAAAAGCCAACGGGACACUCACCUAACAAGUCUGGAUAGUCACAGGAAAUCAUGUUGAGCACUCAUCACAUCACUGUUUUGCUCGCCUGUGUGGCUCUU